CCUACGGGUGGCUGCAGUGGGGAAUAUUGGACAAUGGGGGGAACCCUGAUCCAGCCAUGCCGCGUGUGUGAAGAAGGCCCUCGGGUUGUAAAGCACUUUCAGUGAGGAAGAACGCCUGGUGGUUAAUACCCAUCAGGAAAGACAUCACUCACAGAAGAAGCACCGGCUAACUCCGUGCCAGCAGCCGCGGUAAUACGGAGGGUGCGAGCGUUAAUCGGAAUUACUGGGCGUAAAGCGCGCGUAGGUGGCUUGAUAAGCCGGUUGUGAAAGCCCCGGGCUCAACCUGGAAACGGCAUCCGGAACUGUCAAGCUAGAGUGCAGGAGAGGAAGGUAGAAUUCCCGGUGUAGCGGUGAAAUGCGUAGAGAUCGGGAGGAAUACCAGUGGCGAAGGCGGCCUUCUGGACUGACACUGACACUGAGGUGCGAAAGCGUGGGUAGCAAACAGGAUUAGAUACCCUUGUAGUC
rnacentral:rRNA from 1 species